rnacentral:tRNA from 1 species
GGGCCAGUAGCUCAGUGGUAGAGCACUGCAUUCGCAUUGCAGGGGUCGUGGGUUCAACUCCCAUCUGGUCCA